ACGUCUACAUUAGACUACCCCCGUAGUCCCAGCCGUAAACUAUGCGCGUUAGGUGUAUCGGUGACCACGAGUUACCGAGGUGCCGAAGGGAAACCGUGAAACGUGCCGCCUGGGAAGUACGGUCGCAAGGCUAGAAACUUAAAGGAAUUGGCGGGGAGCACCACAACGGGUGGAGCCUGCGGUUUAAUUGGACUCAACGCCGGGAAGCUCACCGGAUAAGACAGCGGAAUGAUUGCCGGGCUGAAGACUCUGCAUGACUAGCUG
rnacentral:rRNA from 1 species